rnacentral:rRNA from 1 species
GACGAACGCUGGCGGCGUGCUUAACACAUGCAAGUCGAACGGAAAGGCCUUUUCGGAGGUACUCGAGUGGCGAACGGGUGAGUAACACGUGGGUGAUCUGCCCUGCACUCUGGGAUGAGCCUGGGAAACUGGGUCUAAUACCGGAUAGGACCGCACUUUAGUGUGUGUGGUGGAAAGUUUUUUCGGUGUAGGAUGAGCCCGCGGCCUAUCAGCUUGUUGGUGGGGUAAUGGCCUACCAAGGCGGCGACGGGUAGCCGGACUGAGAGGUUGGUCGGCCACAUUGGGACUGAGAUACGGCCCAGACUCCUACGGGAGGCAGCAGUGGGGAAUAUUGCACAAUGGGCGCAAGCCUGAUGCAGCGACGCCGCGUGGGGGAUGACGGCCUUCGGGUUGUAAACUCCUUUCGCCAGGGACGAAGCGUUUUGUGACGGUACCUGGAGAAGAAGCACCGGCUAACUACGUG